rnacentral:rRNA from 1 species
UACGUAGGGGGCAAGCGUUGUCCGGAUUUAUUGGGCGUAAAGAGCGUGUAGGCGGCCAGGUAGGUCUGCUGUGAAAACUCGAGGCUCAACCUCGAGAUGUCGGCGGAAACCAUCUGGCUAGAGUCCGGAAGAGGAGAAUGGAAUUCCCGGUGUAGCGGUGAAAUGCGCAGAUAUCGGGAAGAACACCCGUGGCGAAGGCGGUUCUCUGGGACGGUACUGACGCUGAGACGCGAAAGCGUGGGGAGCAAACGGG